GACAGAGGGUGCAAACGUUGUUCGGAUUUACUGGGCGUAAAGGGCGCGUAGGCGGCAUAUUAAGUCAUCUGUGAAAUCUCCGAGCUUAACUCGGGACUGUCAGCUGAUACUGAUGUGCUAGAGUGCGGAAGGGGCAAUCGGAAUUCUUGGUGUAGCGGUGAAAUGCGUAGAUAUCAAGAGGAACACCGGAGGUGAAGACGGGUUGCUGGGCCGACACUGACGCUGAGUGCGCGAAAGCCAGGGGAGCAAACGGG
rnacentral:rRNA from 1 species